rnacentral:ncRNA from 1 species
AAAGACUUAGUCCUAACCUUACCGUUAAUUUCUGCUAAACAUAUACAUGCAAGUAUCUGCGAUCCAGUGUAAAUGCCCUAAACCUCUUACCAAGACAAAAGGAGCGGGCAUCAGGCACACCCAAAGUUGUAGCCCAAGACGCCUUGCUUAGCCACACCCCCACGGGCACUCAGCAGUAAUCAACAUUAAGCAAUAAGUGUAAACUUGACUUAGUUAUAGCAACCACCCAGGGCCGGUAAAUCUUGUGCCAGCCACCGCGGUCAUACAAGAGACCCAAAUUAACUGUAAUACGGCGUAAAGAGUGGCAUGAUGUUAUCACAACAACUAAGAUCGAAAUACAAUUGAGCUGUCAUAAGCUUAAAAUGUACUUAAGGCCCCCCCUUAACACGAUCUCAGCACCAAUGAACAAUUUCACUACCACGAAAGCUAGGGCACAAACUGGGAUUAGAUACCCCACUAUGCCUAGCCAUAAAUCUCGACACUUGUUUAACCAAAGUGUCCGCCCGAGAACUACGAGCACAAACGCUUAAAACUCUAAGGACUUGGCGGUGCCCCAAACCCACCUAGAGGAGCCUGUUCUAUAAUCGAUAAUCCACGAUCCACCCAACCGCUUCUUGCCAGAACAGCCUACAUACCGCCGUCGCCAGCCCACCUCAUUGAGAGCACAACAGUGGGCUAAAUAGCCCUACCGCUAACAAGACAGGUCAAGGUAUAGCUCAUGAAGCGGAAGAAAUGGGCUACAUUUUCUAACAUAGAAAACCCACGAACAGGGGCAUGAAAUUGCCCCCAGAAGGCGGAUUUAGCAGUAAAGAGGGAUAAUUAAGCCCCCUUUAAGACGGCACUGGGGCACGUACAUACCGCCCGUCACCCUCCUCAAAAAGCUAUCAAACCCUAUAACUUAAUACAUAAUCAGCCAAAGACGAGGU